rnacentral:rRNA from 1 species
GAGUUUGAUCCUGGCUCAGGAUGAACGCUAGCGGCAGGCUUAAUACAUGCAAGUCGAGGGGCAGCAUGAGUGUAGCAAUACAUUUGAUGGCGACCGGCAAAACGGGUGCGGAACACGUACACAACCUUCCUUUAAGCGGGGAAUAGCCCGGGGAAACCCGGAUUAAUACCCCAUAGUAUGGUGAAGAGGCAUCUCUUUAUUAUUAAAGAUUUAUCACUUAAAGAUGGGUGUGCGGCUGAUUAGGUAGUUGGCGGGGUAACGGCCCACCAAGCCUACGAUCAGUAACUGGUGUGAGAGCACGACCAGUCACACGGGCACUGAGACACGGGCCCGACUCCUACGGGAGGCAGCAGUAAGGAUAUUGGUCAAUGGACGAAAGUCUGAACCAGCCAAUGCCGCGUGGAGGAUGAAGGUCCUCUGGAUUGUAAACUUCUUUUAUAUGGGACGAAAAAGGCCUUUCCAGGUCGUCUGACGGUACCAUAUGAAUAAGCACCGGCUAACUCCGUGCCAGCAGCCGCCGCCGUAAG